rnacentral:rRNA from 1 species
UACAGAGGUCUCAAGCGUUGUUCGGAUUCAUUGGGCGUAAAGGGUGCGUAGGCGGCGCGGUAAGUCGGGUGUGAAAUCUCGGAGCUUAACUCCGAAACUGCAUUCGAUACUGCCGUGCUUGAGGACUGGAGAGGAGACUGGAAUUUACGGUGUAGCGGUGAAAUGCGUAGAUAUCGUAAGGAAGACCAGUGGCUAAGGCGGGUCUCUGGACAGUUCCUGACGCUGAGGCACGAAGGUCAGGGGAGCAAACGGG